rnacentral:snoRNA from 1 species
AUGAAUGACAAGAUGCACUAGGCUCUCAGCAUUUUUCACAAAUUGAUGGAAACGCAUUUGCCUAGAAAGCAUUGUUUGACUA